rnacentral:tRNA from 1 species
GCCUGGCUGGCUCAGUCAGCAAAGUAUGAGACUCCUGAUCUCAGGGUAAUGAGUUCAAGCCCCAUGUUGGGCA